rnacentral:lncRNA from 1 species
AGGUGAACAGCUGGAUGAUGUGAUGGAGGCACGCAGGGUGGAGGGGUUACCACAGUCUAGGUACUCUACACAUCCAGAGCCUCCCACAGUUGACAAAUGGAUUUUCCUAAUCAGUUUCGUCGUGUUUUGUACUUAAGUUGAGGAUUCCACACCGUGUGGUACUUUCAGAAGAGAUGUAGUGGUGAAUCAAUCGCAACGAGGUUGUGAUGUUUUCCUAAUUAGGUAUUGAGAAUUACCAUUGGUAUUUGGAAUUAGAUUGCGGAGCAUUUAGGAACCGUUCUCGCUAUGUUGCCCAGGCUGGUCUUGAACUCCUCAGCUGAAAUGAGCCUCCCACCUCGGCCUCCCAAAGUGCUGGGAUUACAGGCGUCCCCUCUGCCCCAGUACUGUUUCCUCUCCCCAGCCCAGCCCCCACAGCUGCCUGCCCUGGCCUCACUCCCUGGCCUCCCCCAUCCCAGCCUCUGGGUCCCUGAGUCAGUCCCUGGGGCUGUCUGCCUUCUAGGGGAGCCUCUGGUGUGGACCAGAAAGUAACCUAAUCCCUUCCAGGCCCACCCUGGAAACAAAGGGAUUUGUCCACUAGCCUGGUGGUGAGAACCAUGUGGCCUCCUGUCUCUGGCAGAGAGGACUCCAGGAUCAAGGGCAGGUAAAAGGAGGAGCCUCCUGGGGAGCUUCAGAAGGAGGGUCCCAAGUCCCUCCUGCCCCACUUCUGUGCCUGGGUCACUCACACCCCUGCCUGACUCUAGCCCCCCUUCUCCAGGGGUCUCCACAACAUGUGAAUCAUGCCCAGCGUCUUCCAUUACACCCUUGAUAAAGUCCUCUCCUCACCAGGACCUCUGUCAUUUUACCUCAUGGUUUUGAAAUAAUUUUUGGUCUUCUUAGCAGUUUAAAAAUAUUGUUUUGUUUUUUUUCCUGAGUUUGGAGCAUUCCUGUUACUAAUUACAUUUUUUUUUUAGACAGGUGUACACUACUACACCCAGCUAAUUUGUUUUGUUUUGUUUUGUUUUGGUAGAGAUAGGAUCUUGCUAUGGUACCCAGGCUGGUCUUCAACUCCUGGGCUCAAGCAAUCCUCCUGCAUUGGCCUCCCAAAGUGCUGGAAUUACAGGCAUGAGGCAGCACGCCCAGCCCUAAUUACUUCUAUUACGCCAAAUUCCUUGUGUGGAAUUCCUGUGCUUUGCACACAAAUUGCCAGGUUGGCCCCAAAGGGGAAAAAAGUGGAUCCCAUUUUCCCAUCUUCUAUGCCUACGUGGCUGACAAAUCUCCCGAAUCCCACAGGAGCUGUCGCUGAUCUUUGUCCUCUAUUCGCUGAAAUAAAGUUCACCAUGGA